rnacentral:rRNA from 1 species
GCUGGCGGCAUGCCUAACACAUGCAAGUCGAACGCUAUCUUUGAUAGAGUGGCGCACGGGUGAGUAACGCGUGGGAACCUACCUUUCUCUGCGGGACAACGGUUGGAAACGACCGCUAAUACCGCAUACGCCCUACGGGGGAAAGGUCAGCCGGAGAAGGAGGGGCCCGCGUUUGAUUAGCUUGUUGGUAGGGUAAUGGCCUACCAAGGCGACGAUCAAUAGCUGGUCUGAGAGGAUGAUCAGCCACACUGGGACUGAGACACGGCCCAGACUCCUACGGGAGGCAGCAGUGGGGAAUAUUGGACAAUGGGGGCAACCCUGAUCCAGCAAUGCCGCGUGUGUGAUGAAGGCCCUAGGGUUGUAAAGCACUUUCACUGGUGAAGAUGAUGACGGUAACCAGAGAAGAAGCCCCGGCUAACUUCGUGCCAGCAGCCGCGGUAAUACGAAGGGGGCGAGCGUUGUUCGGAAUAACUGGGCGUAAAGGGCGCGUAGGCGGCUUUCUAAGUUAGGCGUGAAAUCCCCGGGCUCAACCUGGGAACUGCGCUUAAGACUGGAGAGCUAGAAAACGGAAGAAGGGUAGUGGAAUUCCCAGUGUAGAGGUGAAAUUCGUAGAU